AUACGGAGGAUGCGAGCGUUAUCCGGAUUUAUUGGGUUUAAAGGGAGCGUAGGCGGGAGCUUAAGUCAGCGGUUAAAUCGUGGGGCUCAACCCCAUUCUGCCGUUGAUACUGGGUGGCUUGAUUGCGGUCGAGGUUGGCGGAAUUCGUUGUGUAGCGGUGAAAUGCAUAGAUAUGACGAAGAACACCGAUUGCGUAGGCAGCUGACCAGACCGCAAAUGACGCUCAUGCACGAAAGUGCGGGGAUCGAACAGGAUUAGAUACCCUGGUAGUCCGCACAGUAAACGAUGAAUACUUGUUUUCGGCGAUAUAAUGUCGGAGGCAAAGCGAAAGCGAUAAGUAUUCCACCUGGGGAGUACGCCGGCAACGGUGAAACUCAAAGGAAUUGACGGGG
rnacentral:rRNA from 1 species